AGUCGAACGGCAGCACGGACUUCGGUCUGGUGGGCGAGUGGCGAACGGGUGAGUAAUGUAUCGGAACGUGCCUAGUAGCGGGGGAUAACUACGCGAAAGCGUAGCUAAUACCGCAUAAUAUGCCACUCUUCGGGGAAAGCGGGGGGACCUUCGGCCUCGCACUAUUAGAGCGGCCGAUAUCGGAUUAGCUAGUUGGUGGGGUAACGGCUCACCAAGGCGACGAUCCGUGUAGCUGGUUUGAGAGGACCAGCCACACUGGGACUGGAGACACGGCCCAGACUCCUACGGGAGGCAGCAGUGGGGAAUUUUGGACAAUGGGGGAAACCCUGAUCCAGCCAUCCCGCGUGUGCGAUGAAGGCCUUCGGGUUGUGGGGGUAAAGACUUUCUUGGCAGGAAAAGAAACGGCACGGGAUAACACCCGUGCAACUGACGGUACCUGCAGAAUAAGCACCGGCUAACUACGCCAGCAGCCGCGGUAAUUACGUAGGGUGCAAGCGUUAAUCGAAUUACUGGCGUAAAGCGUGCGGUGCGUUCGGAAAGAAAGAUGUGGAAAUCCCAGAGCUUAACUUUGGAACUGCAUUUUUAACUACCGAGCUAGAGUGUGUCAGAGGGAGUGUGGAAUUCGCGUGUAGCAGUGAAAUGCGUAGAUAUGCGGAGGAACACCGAUGGCGAAGGCAGCCUCCUGGGAUAACACUGACGCUCAUGCACGAAAGCGUGGGGAGCAAACAGGAUUAGAUACCUCUAGUUCACGCCCUAAACGAUGUCAACUAGCUGUUAAAUGCCUUGGUAGCGCAGCUAACGCGUGAAGUUGACCGCCUGGGAGUACGGUCAAAGAUUAAAACUCAAAGGAAUUGACGGGAUCCGCACAAGCGUGGAUGAUGUGGAUUAAUUCGAUGCAACGCGAAAACCUUACCUACCCCCGACAUGUCUGGAAUCCCGAAGAGAUUUGGGAGUGCUCGCAAGAGAACCGGAACACAGGUGCUGCAUGGCUGUCGUCAGCUCGUGUCGUGAGAUGCCGGGGUUAAGUCCCGCAACGAGCGCAACCCUUGUCAUUAGUUGCUACGAAAGGGCACUCUAAUGAGACUGCCGGUGACAAACCGGAGGAAGGUGGGGAUGACGUCAAGUCCUCAUGGCCCUUAAGGGUAGGGCUUCACACGUCAUAAUGGUCGGGACAGAGGGUCGCCAACCCGCGAGGGGAGCCAAUCCCAGAAACCCGAUCGUAGUCCGGAUCGCAGUUCGCAACUCGACUGCGUGAAGUCGGAAUCGCUAGCAAUCGCGGAUCAGCAUGUCGCGGUGAAUACGUUCCCGGGUCUUGUACACCGCCCGUCACACCAUGGGAGUGGGUUUUACCAGAAGUAGUUAGCCUAACCGUAAGGAGGGCGAUUACUACGGUAGGAUUCAUGACUGGGGUGAAGUCGUAACAAGGUAG
rnacentral:rRNA from 1 species